GUCCAUCUGACGAGUGUUAAAUAGGACGAAAUAUACGUCCUGGAU
rfam:Schistosoma haematobium scaffold580_6, whole genome shotgun sequence.